CAGGCUUAACACAUGCAAGUCGAGGGGCAUCAGGAAGAAAGCUUGCUUUCUUUGCUGGCGACCGGCGCACGGGUGAGUAACACGUAUCCAACCUGCCCUUUACUCGGGGAUAGCCUUUCGAAAGAAAGAUUAAUACCCGAUGGCAUAAUGAUUCCGCAUGGUUUCAUUAUUAAAGGAUUCCGGUAAAGGAUGGGGAUGCGUUCCAUUAGGUUGUUGGUGAGGUAACGGCUCACCAAGCCUUCGAUGGAUAGGGGUUCUGAGAGGAAGGUCCCCCACAUUGGAACUGAGACACGGUCCAAACUCCUACGGGAGGCGGCAGUGAGGAAUAUUGGUCAAUGGGCGCUAGCCUGAACCAGCCAAGUAGCGUGAAGGAUGAAGGCUCUAUGGGUCGUAAACUUCUUUUAUAUAAGAAUAAAGUGCAGUAUGUAUACUGUUUUGUAUGUAUUAUAUGAAUAAGGAUCGGCUAACUCCGUGCCAGCAGCCGCGGUAAUACGGAGGAUCCGAGCGUUAUCCGGAUUUAUUGGGUUUAAAGGGAGCGUAGGUGGACUGGUAAGUCAGUUGUGAAAGUUUGCGGCUCAACCGUAAAAUUGCAGUUGAUACUGUCAGUCUUGAGUACAGUAGAGGUGGGCGGAAUUCGUGGUGUAGCGGUGAAAUGCUUAGAUAUCACGAAGAACUCCGAUUGCGAAGGCAGCUCACUGGACUGCAACUGACACUGAUGCUCGAAAGUGUGGGUAUCAAACAGGAUUAGAUACCCUGGUAGUCCACACAGUAAACGAUGAAUACUCGCUGUUUGCGAUAUACAGUAAGCGGCCAAGCGAAAGCAUUAAGUAUUCCACCUGGGGAGUACGCCGGCAACGGUGAAACUCAAAGGAAUUGACGGGGGCCCGCACAAGCGGAGGAACAUGUGGUUUAAUUCGAUGAUACGCGAGGAACCUUACCCGGGCUUAAAUUGCAGUGGAAUGAUGUGGAAACAUGUCAGUGAGCAAUCACCGCUGUGAAGGUGCUGCAUGGUUGUCGUCAGCUCGUGCCGUGAGGUGUCGGCUUAAGUGCCAUAACGAGCGCAACCCUUAUCUUUAGUUACUAACAGGUUAUGCUGAGGACUCUAGAGAGACUGCCGUCGUAAGAUGUGAGGAAGGUGGGGAUGACGUCAAAUCAGCACGGCCCUUACGUCCGGGGCUACACACGUGUUACAAUGGGGGGUACAGAAGGCAGCUAGCGGGUGACCGUAUGCUAAUCCCAAAAGCCUCUCUCAGUUCGGAUCGAAGUCUGCAACCCGACUUCGUGAAGCUGGAUUCGCCAGUAAUCGCGCAUCAGCCACGGCGCGGUGGAUACGUUCCCGGGCCUUGUACACACCGCCCGUCAAGCCAUGGGAGCCGGGGGUACCUGAAGUACGUAACCGCAAGGAGCGUCCUAGGGUAAAACUGGUAAUUGGGGC
rnacentral:rRNA from 1 species